rnacentral:lncRNA from 1 species
UCCACGAACGUCCGACCCAAAGAGUCGAAAGCUGAAGCCGCCAGCCUGGAGAGUGCGUCGGCCCGGGCAUUUUUUGAUCUGGGGAUAUGGGAGAUCUUGAAAUAUCCGAAGAGCGCCACGAGAUCCUUCACUUUCUGGAGAUAUUUUGCCAUGCUGGAUCUCGCACCUCGAAUUCGUCUUUGACCUGUCCCACGAUUAGCUGAGAGUCGGAGAAUACCCGAAGGCUGUCGAUCUCAAGUUUCCUUGCCAUCCUCAAGCCGGCGAGGAGCGCUUCAUACUCGACCUGAUUGUUGGAGGCUUUGAA